UGGGGUGUAGCUCAGUGAUAGAGCAAGUGCUUAGGGUGUGCAAGACCCUGGGCUCCAUCCCCAGCACCCCAA
rnacentral:tRNA from 1 species